rnacentral:lncRNA from 1 species
GUGAGGGCCAGGGUGGGGGCGGCGGCCGCGAAGGGGGCCCGUGCUUUCUCCGAGUCGCAGACUCGCGCUCGGGCAGCCGCCGCCGCCGCCGCCGCCGCCAUGUUGGCUUGAGGGCCGAUGACUGGGGGCGGCUGCGGCGCCGGGGACUGAAAAGUGGAGGAGGAGGCGGAGAGACAGAGCUCUGAGAGGAAACCCUUCCCGGGCUGAGAGGAAGGACCCGGCCUCUUCCGGGGACCAGCCGAAGUCGGCGUCGCGGGGAGCUCGCGAGGCCGGGGAGGGGAGGGGAAGGCGGAGACGGGGGAGGCGGAGGCGGCAGAGGAGCGCCGAGAAGCCGGAGGCGAUGCGCCCCGAGCCCCGCGGCUGCCCCGAGGCGCCCGCGGCCUGAGCCCCGACGGGCCGUGGGGUCUCCAGCCCGCCUCAUCUCCCCGCGCCCCCGGUUCGCCGCUCGGCUGCCCGGCCCGGGCUUGCGCUGCGGCUCCCAACGAGUUAAAUGCCCUUGAGCGCGGGUUUCCGCGGCCCGGCUCGCAGCCCCGGCCGCGCGAGCUGAGCUGUUUCCCCGCGCCGCCCGCCGGGGGACGCGUCCAUGUGUAGCCACAUAGUUAUCUGUGUACCUCGGCGCCGGGGCAUUCGCCUCCUGCUUAAUGAGGACUUGACUCGGGAGCAAGUGUGAAUCACUGCCGGGCUGGGAGAGGAGGCAGGCGAUUUAACCCCCUCCCACCCCGCUCCAUGUCCGUGUGUCACUCGGCUCGGCUCCCGGCGACUGUUCCUCUUCGCUCGGAACCUCGGCCAGGCCGGCACUUGGGCUCCGAGAGAACUUAUUUUUUUUUUUGGAAAGCACAGCUCGAACCGUUCAGGAUCCCGAAGGUUGAUUUCCGUAGCCCGAAGACUUCUCUUUUUGGUUCGUCUUUUUUGAUUUUUUUUUUUUUUUCUUCGCCAGUAUCUGGGUCUAUCUCAAACGGCAAGAUGUCCAGUAAUGUCCCGGCGGAUAUGGUAAGUGAAGGAUAAGAGUUACGACACCCUUUGAUUUACUUGUGGUUUCCAAUCUUUUUUAAUCGGAAAGGCUGCAGGCGUGGGGUGAAGGUUGCUGGCGGGGGACGGUUGAAAAGCCGCGGUGCGGGGACGUGGCUUUGGCCAAGUUGGGGGUUCUGCUGGCCCUCGUGUGGGAAGUACUGCUUCUAAUACGGUUUUUCUCGUCGGGCUGUGUUUUCUACAUGAUUAAAGACGAUGGAGAAGUUGGGAAAAUGUAGCAAGGUGGCUCGAAGUGGCGAAGAGCUCUUCCUCUUUGCUAGCAGCCUCUGAGCACUGGUGUCUUGGAGCUUCUGAAAACGUCAGUGGCCGUGGGCAGCGCUGAGGACGGAUGUCCCUACAGAUACCGAGGUGGCCAGGAAAACGGGGAUCUUGGCUCGGUGACACGGGUGGUUAAUGCAGUGGGUACUAGCUUGCUAUUUCCAAGAGCACAGCCGCAGUAUCCGGUCGAGGGAAGACUCGAUUAGGAUUUGCUGUGAGCUUUCUGAAACGUCUGGGUGGACAAGGAUGGCAGGCAGAAAUAUGAACACGUUUUGGAAUUGUCACAAAUCUAGGCUGACUCGAUUUUGCCACUUGUAAUGAAUGUGCCAGGACUCUUCGUACCGAGUAUUUAGUAGUAUUACAUCAUUGGACUUUUAAAAGCUAGUAAAACACAUUAUUGAUUGAGCCUUGGUCCUGCACUGUUGAGAAGUGGAAACAAAAAGUACUCUUGUUGAUUGACGCGUUUCUUUUUGCUUAUAAAGGCUGAGCUUAGGAGACUGUCGACUAACAGGAACCGUGUGGGUUUACAGUGCUGGGAGGUGGGUUCGUGGGAGUGUUACAUUACCCUGUGCCGUCCUAGGGGCAAACCUAAUGCACUUAAUGGGAAGAUGAAUGGUUUUGUUUAUGAAAGAAUUAAAGUUAACAUAGUUGUACUCGCUUACAUUAACUUAACGUUUGAGUGUUUUCGUAUUUCAGCGAAAAAACAAAAUUGAAUUUUGCCGAUGACUAAAUUUUAAAAUGUCAGAUAUUUCGAAGGACUGAACCUCAUUUACAGGCUGUAAAAUUAAAAAAAAAAAUUAAAUGGUUCUAAAUGGCACAUUUUGACCUUGGUUUAAAGACAUUGUGCUUGCGUUUGAUUUCCCUUUUAAUGCGCUAUUUAAAUGCAAAGCAACCACAGUGUUCCGUCUCUGGGGUGGCCACCCGGCCACCUUAACUCUCCUUCCCAAGUCGAGUGUUAAAACUCGAUCUUCGCCCUUAGAGUUUUCCCUUCCUUCCCGGUAGCACACUCCGAAUAGUCUCCUGCCCACGUGAGGAGAGCUGGGCUUGGUUUCCUGCCCCUCACUGUCCCGGUUGCCUGGGGAGGUCUCUGGCCGGAGCUGGAAAAUGCUCUUCCCCGGUUUGAUGGUGGCUCUGUGGGCGCAUCACCUCCAGCAAAGAUUUGCUCUCUCUCGAAAGCCUCCAUUUUAUGUCACCACGCACACUGUAAGAUCGGAUCACCCCGAGUACUUUUUAUCUGUCACGGAAGUUGUAGUGAAAUAGAUUGCUGUCCUUAAACAGUGCCACCACUUUCCUUUAGGCCCAGUGAUGAAGAAAAGCUAGGAUGUGCGUAGCAUCAGUCACAAAUUGAGAUGAUUUGGGGAAUACUGUUUCAAGUCAGAGAGAAGGUUGAGCAGCUCAUGUGGGAUCAGGGGACCAGGAAGUAGCGACACGGUUUUAUUAAUAGCUGCAGUUAUAAGAUAUAAACUAUUAAUGUUUUAAACUGUACUUGAAGGCCUUGAUGAUUCUGUGGUGCUUUGAGAUCCCUUGAUGAAAGGUGAUAUGCAAGGGCAAAGCAGUAUUAUGUAAUAAACGUAUAAUGCCCUGGUGAUGCUCUGAGGGU